CCCUGGUUAGCUCAGUUGGUAGAGCGCUCCACUUGUAAUGGAGAGGUUCCGAGUUCAUACCCGGACCAGGCG
rnacentral:tRNA from 1 species